GUGGUUGUAGCUCAGUUGGUUAGAGCGCUGGAUUGUGGUUCCAGAGGUCGCCGGUUCGAGCCCGGUCUUCCACC
rnacentral:tRNA from 5 species